AGAACGAACGCUGGCGGCGUGGAUAAGACAUGCAAGUCGAACGCGACUUAUCGAGUUAGCAAUAAUUUGGUAAGUUGAGUGGCGAAAGGGUGCGUAACACGUGGGAAAUUACCAAGAAGUGGGGAAUAGCUCGACGAAAGUCGAAUUAAUACCGCAUAUGAUCGCAAGAUCAAAGCCGGGGACCGCAAGGCCUGGCGCUUUUUGAGAUGCCCGCGGCCCCAUCAGCUAGUUGGUGAGGUAAAAGCUCACCAAGGCUAUGACGGGUAGCUGGUCUGAGAGGACGACCAGCCACACUGGAACUGAGACACGGUCCAGACACCUACGGGUGGCAGCAGUCGAGAAUUUUUCACAAUGGAC
rnacentral:rRNA from 1 species